UUUAUGUAGCAUUACUGUAGCAGAAACUUAAUACUGGGGGCUAAAUAUAGUGGACCAGUGACAGCACAGAAUGGUAAAAUGGAGUGAUGGUUACUUAUAUCACAACCCUUCAUCUCUGUUGAUGGACACUAAAAUCAAAGUGGCAAUUACUCAGAGUUGGGAGUCAUUGAGUUGCGGUUGGGAUUUUGGGAAAUAGUGCAGAGGGAUUAGCAGUAGUGACAUGGAACAAUGUGAGCCUCAGUUUCCAUCCCUGAGGCUGCCUUCAUCUUCCAGGGAAAUGUCUCUGUGUGCAGCCUUGCCCUCUGCACACAGUGUGUAUGGCCACCUGAAUAAGUGUCCUUUCAUAGCGACUAACGGAUUGAAAUGGGUGCUAGAGGUAUUAGAUCAUUCCAGUGGAAACAUGUAUGAGUGAUGGAAUGAACAGAUAUAAUUAAUCCAGGUCUGGUAAGUGAGGUACUGAUACAUAUUAAGUUGAAGUGAAUUUCAC
rnacentral:lncRNA from 1 species